rnacentral:rRNA from 1 species
UACAGGGGGGGCAAGCGUUGUUCGGAAUUACUGGGCGUAAAGGGCCAGUAGGCGGCCGACUAAGUCCGACGUGAAAUCCCCAGGCUUAACCUGGGAACUGCGUCGGAUACUGGUUGGCUUGAAUUCGGGAGAGGGAUGCAGAAUUCCAGGUGUAGCGGUGAAAUGCGUAGAUAUCUGGAGGAAUACCGGUGGCGAAGGCGGCAUCCUGGACCGACAUUGACGCUGGACGGCGAAAGCUAGGGGAGCAAACGGG